CCUACGGGUGGCAGCAGUGAGGAAUAUUGGUCAAUGGACGCAAGUCUGAACCAGCCAUGCCGCGUGCAGGAAGACGGCUCUAUGAGUUGUAAACUGCUUUUGUACGAGGGUAAACGCAGAUACGCGUAUCUGUCUGAAAGUAUCGUACGAAUAAGGAUCGGCUAACUCCGUGCCAGCAGCCGCGGUAAUACGGAGGAUUCAAGCGUUAUCCGGAUUUAUUGGGUUUAAAGGGUGCGUAGGCGGUCGGAUAAGUUAGAGGUGAAAUCCCGAGGCUCAACUUCGGAAUUGCCUCUGAUACUGUUCGGCGAGAGAGUAGUGGCGGUAGGCGGAAUGUAUGGGGUAGCGGUGAAAUGCUUAGAGAUCAUACAGAACACCGAUUGCGAAGGCAGCUUACCAAGCUACUUCUGACGUUGAGGCACGAAAGCGUGGGGAGCAAACAGGAUUAGAUACCCGAGUAGUC
rnacentral:rRNA from 1 species